AAUAGGUCUAGAACUCGAGAAUCUGGGAAGUAUUAUUCAAAUUUAGGUUUUUUUUUCCUCAGUUGUUGAUUAGUUUGUGUGUGCUAGGGAAGUAUUUUUGUCAGCAAUGGAGAUUUGUUACUUAUAUUGUUGAGGAUGGAGCCGAAUUCUUUGUUCUUUGUUUGUAUCUUUAUGUUUUUGUUUUUGUUAUUUUUGGCGGUGGGGUUUGCUUUUAAGGUUGUUGUCUCCAAGAAGAGAAAGAGUGAGUGCGAGAGUCAGAGAGAGGAUAGAAUCAUUUUGAGGAUGAAUGAAGCUUUUGGGUAUUUCAGAUUUCUUUCGAGGAUUUGAUGUUUGUUUCUGCGGUGUUUUACCCUUAGUUUCGUAAACAUCUAACGAAGAUAUGAUGAUUUUACUGGAAAUUUUCUUGCAUUAAUAGAAUUUUGUGUAUUUAUCUAGGUUAUGCGGGCGUCUAAUAAAUUGCUUUAGAGGUUCCUUACUUCUAAAUAUGUCUUGAUAAACUUAUUAUUAGUAAAAAAAUGAUUUUUUUUUAUAUUUUUCAUUAACAAAGUGACCGCUCUUCUUGCAGGAAUAAGCAUUAGAAUUGGUACGGUAUUGGAGGGGCGUUUUUCUUGAAUUCGAAAUUCCAAAAGCUUUCACGAUUUUGUUGGUGAGUUUGGAGUUUGUGUGGUGUAUCCGUAGAGAUUUGCGUCUCUGGGGUUUAGGGAUUCAUUAGAGGUAAAAUGGAGAAGUCUCUGUUGUCCAUCCUGAUGGAAACC
rnacentral:lncRNA from 1 species